rnacentral:rRNA from 1 species
ACAUGCAAGUCGAACGAUGAAGCCCUUCGGGGUGGAUUAGUGGCGAACGGGUGAGUAACACGUGGGCAAUCUGCCCUUCACUCUGGGACAAGCCCUGGAAACGGGGUCUAAUACCGGAUAACACUCCUACAGGCAUCUGUGGGGGUUGAAAGCUCCGGCGGUGAAGGAUGAGCCCGCGGCCUAUCAGCUUGUUGGUGAGGUAGUGGCUCACCAAGGCGACGACGGGUAGCCGGCCUGAGAGGGCGACCGGCCACACUGGGACUGAGACACGGCCCAGACUCCUACGGGAGGCAGCAGUGGGGAAUAUUGCACAAUGGGCGAAAGCCUGAUGCAGCGACGCCGCGUGAGGGAUGACGGCCUUCGGGUUGUAAACCUCUUUCAGCAGGGAAGAAGCGAAAGUGACGGUACCUGCAGAAGAAGCGCCGGCUAACUACGUGCCAGCAGCCGCGGUAAUACGUAGGGCGCAAGCGUUGUCCGGAAUUAUUGGGCGUAAAGAGCUCGUAGGCGGCUUGUCACGUCGGGUGUGAAAGCCCGGGGCUUAACCCCGGGUCUGCAUUCGAUAC